rnacentral:rRNA from 1 species
CCUGAACGCUGGCGGCGUGGCUAAGACAUGCAAGUCGCACGGGGGUAGCAAUACCCAGUGGCGAACGGGAGAGUAAUGAAUCGCUAACGUACCCCGGACUCUGGGAUAGCCAACCGAAAGGUUGGGUAAUACCAGAUGACACGACCCUGUCGCAUGGCAGGGUUUUCAAAGGUCCGCCGGUCUGGGAGCGGGCGAUUUCGUAUCAGCUAGUUGGUGGGGUAAUGGCUCACCAAGGCGACGACGCGUAGCCGGACUGAGAGGUUGGCCGGCCUCAUUGGGACUGAGACACUGCCCAGACUCCUACGGGGGGCUGCAGUAACGAAUCUUCCGCAAUGCACGAAAGUGUGACGGAGCGACGCCGCGUGUGGGACGAAGCCCUUCGGGGUGUAAACCACUGUCAGGGGGUUACCAAGUUCUGAGGAGCCCCAGAGGAAGGCACGGCU